GAUGAACGCUGGCGGCGUGCCUAAUACAUGCAAGUCGAGCGAACGGACGAGAAGCUUGCUUCUCUGAUGUUAGCGGCGGACGGGUGAGUAACACGUGGAUAACCUACCUAUAAGACUGGGAUAACUUCGGAAAACCGGAGCUAAUACCGGAUAAUAUUUUGAACCGCAUGGUUCAAAAGUGAAAGACGGUCUUGCUGUCACUUAUAGAUGGAUCCGCGCUGCAUUAGCUAGUUGGUAAGGUAACGGCUUACCAAGGCAACGAUGCAUAGCCGACCUGAGAGGGUGAUAGGCCACACUGGAACGGAGACACGGUCCAGACUCCUACGGGAGGCAGCAGUAGGGAAUCUUACGCAAUGGGCGAAAGCAUGACGGAGCAACGCCGCGUGAGUGAUGAAGGUCUUCGGAUCGUAAAACUCUGUUAUUAGGGAAGAACAUAUGUGUAAGUAACUGUGCACAUCUUGACGGUACCUAAUCAGAAAGCCACGGCUAACUACGUG
rnacentral:rRNA from 1 species